rnacentral:rRNA from 1 species
CCUGCGGGGGGCAGCAGUGGGGAAUAUUGGACAAUGGGCGAAAGCCUGAUCCAGCCAUGCCGCGUGUGUGAAGAAGGCCUUCGGGUUGUAAAGCACUUUCAGUGGGGAAGAAAGCCUUGGGGCUAAUACCCUCGAGGAAGGACAUCACCCACAGAAGAAGCACCGGCUAACUCCGUGCCAGCAGCCGCGGUAAUACGGAGGGUGCGAGCGUUAAUCGGAAUUACUGGGCGUAAAGCGCGCGUAGGCGGUCUGAUAAGCCGGUUGUGAAAGCCCCGGGCUCAACCUGGGAACGGCAUCCGGAACUGUCAGGCUAGAGUGAAGGAGAGGAAGGUAGAAUUCCCGGUGUAGCGGUGAAAUGCGUAGAGAUCGGGAGGAAUACCAGUGGCGAAGGCGGCCUUCUGGACUGACACUGACGCUGAGGUGCGAAAGCGUGGGUAGCAAACAGGAUUAGAUACCCCUGUAGUC